UUAAUUGAAACCAAAAAGAGGUAUAUUAUUGUUAAUAAUAUCAAUGAAAAUUUUCCAAUUAAA
rnacentral:tRNA from 1 species